ACAUGCAAGUCGACGGGUAACAGUUACGCUUCGGCGGGAGCUGACGACCGGCGCACGGGUGAGUAACGCGUAUGCAACUUUCCUGUAACUGGAGGAGAGCCGCGCUGGAAACGGGGAUUAAUACUGCGUAAUACCUAAAUACCGCAUGGUAUUAAGGUCAAAUCUACGGAGGUUACAGAUGGGCAUGCGUGCCAUUAGCUAGAUGGUAAGGUAACGGCUUACCAUGGCAAUGAUGGCUAGGGGUUCUGCAAGGAAGGCCCCCCACACUGGUACUGAGACACGGACCAGACGGGUACGGGAGGCAGCAGUGAGGAAUAUUGGUCAAUGGAGGCAACUCUGAACCAGCCAAGCCGCGUGAAGGAAGACUGUCCUAUGGAUUGUAAACUUCUUUUGUGGCAGAAUAAACUACCGUACUUGUACGGUAUUGCAUGUAUGCCAUGAAUAAGCAUCGGCUAACUCCGUGCCAGCAGCCGCGGUAAUACGGAGGAUGCAGGCGUUAUCCGGAUUUAUUAGGUUUAAAGGGUGUUCAGGCUGCCUGGUAAGUCAGGGGUGAAAGUCGGUUGCUCAACGAUCGAAUUGCCUUUGAAACUGUCAGGCUCGAGUAUGGAUGCGGUAGGCGGAAUGUGUAGUGUAGCGGUGAAAUGCAUAGAUGUUACACAGAACAGCGACUGCGAAGGCGGCUUACGCAAACCAGGACUGACGCUGAAGCACGAAAGCGUGGGGAGCGAACAGGAUGAGAUACCCUGG
rnacentral:rRNA from 1 species